AUUGUUUGGAUUUCUAUUUCCUAUGGGAUUUCAUAUCCUUUGGAUAUUCAUCUGGCAAAUAUCAAUAUCAAUUUAUAGAAUUAUAGUACAGUAUAUGUUCGUGAAAAAAUGGAAACGUAAAACAGACAAGCUCAACAGGCAUCAAUUAGUGCCUUUUAUAUUUCAAGUAAGGAGACUGACCGAAAAUACACCAGGUAGUGAAAAGAUUUUAGCACUCAGCAAGAGGAACUUGUAUUAUCUUUCUAGCUUGCUUAAUAUUGCUUCCAUUGGAGGCAGUUCCUUUAAAAUUUGAGCCCAGUCAGGCAUCCCCUUUCCUGAUCGUCGAACACGACCAUCUAGACGAAGUAUAAUGUAGACAUCUUCACCAGGAGUAACACCUUCAGACUUCUGUUGAUCCCUUAUCCACCUUUCCCACUCUGCAGGUGAAACGACCUCCGCCUUGAACCGGAUCUCUGACUUCAGUUUUGAUUUUGCAAUUAUUGACUGAGUUCUUUGGUCAAAAUCUUCCCCUAUGGAUGGGAGGGAAGCGACUGCCUUUUGCGAAACACCAAAACCUUUCUUCUCUAUUUUUGUUUCCCUACCUUCACCCCAAAUAACAGGAACUAGAAGGACCCCGCGUUUAAGAAGCUCAGUGCGGAAUUUCUCAGCAUUUCUCAUAGCCAGAGAGACUGUCUCCUUUUUUCCAGCCAAA
rnacentral:misc_RNA from 1 species